rnacentral:rRNA from 1 species
GUGCCAGCCGCCGCGGUAAUACGUAGGGUGCGAGCGUUAAUCGGAAUUACUGGGCGUAAAGCGUGCGCAGGCGGAUUGUUAAGCAAGAUGUGAAAUCCCCGGGCUUAACCUGGGAAUGGCAUUUUGAACUGGCAGUCUAGAGUGCGUCAGAGGGGGGUGGAAUUCCACGUGUAGCAGUGAAAUGCGUAGAUAUGUGGAGGAACACCAAUGGCGAAGGCAGCCCCCUGGGAUGACACUGACGCUCAUGUACGAAAGCGUGGGUAGCAAACAGGAUUAGAAACCCGAGUAGUC